AAAACGUGGAGUUGUGAUCCUCCACAGAGGGUGGAAAUUUGUGGCAUGUGGUCACAGCCAAUCAUUGCAGCUAACUGGCCUGGAUAAAUCCUUCCCAUUGCUCGGCCAACAGCAACCAAGGCUCAACUACAAGAGGAGGGUGUACUCAGCCCACACAAAGAGUGCACCUC